rnacentral:sRNA from 1 species
GAUACUAGGGGCAAAAGGUCAAAAUGCCGUUCAUGCUUGCAUGAUUAGGCAUUUGAACUUGAGACCCGCCAAACAUGAGGAAGUAGCGAUUUACAUAGUAAAUCAGCGGAUUCCGAAUGUUUGCAGAAUUGCGAGAGUUGCGAAGCAACGUAGCAAUUCGUAAUCA